rnacentral:rRNA from 1 species
UACAGAGGUGGCAAGCGUUGUUCGGAAUUACUGGGCGUAAAGGGCGCGUAGGCGGUCUUGUAAGUCUCGUGUGAAAUCCCUCGGCUUAACUGAGGAACUGCACGGGAUACUGCAUGACUUGAGGUCGGGAGAGGGAAGCGGAAUUCCGGGUGUAGCGGUGAAAUGCGUAGAUAUCGGGAGGAACACCUGUGGCGAAGGCGGCUUUCUGGGCCUUACCUGACGCUGAGACGCGAAAGCGUGGGGAGCGAACCGG